UAAAGGAAUUGGCGGGGGAGCACCACAAGGGGUGGAGCGUGCGGUUUAAUUGGAUUCAACGCCGGGAAGCUUACCGGGGGAGACAGCUGGAUGAAGGUCGGGCUGAAGACCUUACCAGACUAGCUGAGAGGUGGUGCAUGGCCGCCGUCAGUUCGUACUGUGAAGCAUCCUGUUAAGUCAGGCAACGAGCGAGACCCGCGCCUCCAGUUGCCAGCGGAUCGCUUCGGCGAUGCCGGGAACACUGGGGGGACUGCCGGCGCUAAGCCGGAGGAAGGUGCGGGCUACGGCAGGUCCGUAUGCCCCGAAUCCCCCGGGCUACACGCGGGCUACAAUGGCCGGGACAAUGGGUACCGACCCCGAAAGGGGUAGGUAAUCUCCUAAACCCGGUCUAACCUGGGAUCGAGGGCUGCAACUCGCCCUCGUGAACCUGGAAUCCGUAGUAAUCGCGUCUCAAAAUGGCGCGGUGAAUACGUCCCUGCUCCUUGCACACACCGCCA
rnacentral:rRNA from 1 species